rnacentral:rRNA from 1 species
ACGGGGGCCCGCACAAGCGGUGGAGCAUGUGGUUCAAUUCNACGCAACGCGAAAAACCUUACCCAGGCUCGAACGGCAAGUGACAUCCGGCGAAAGCCGGCUCCCGCAAGGGCAGUUGCCGAGGUGCUGCAUGGCUGUCGUCAGCUCGUGGUCGUGAGAUGUUGGGUUAAGUCCCGCAACGAGCGCAACCCUUGUCCGCUGUUGCCAUCAGGUUAAGCUGGGCACUCUGCGGAGACUGCCGGUGAUAAACCGGAGGAAGGUGGGGAUGACGUCAAGUCAGCAUGGCCUUUAUGUCUGGGGCUACACACGUGCUACAAUGGCAGAUACAAACCGUCGCGAGACCGCAAGGUGGAGCUAAUCGGAGAAAGUCUGUCUCAGUUCGGAUUGCAGGCUGCAACUCGCCUGCAUGAAGUUGGAAUCGCUAGUAAUCGCGGAUCAGCACGCCGCGGUGAAUACGUUCCCGGGCCUUGUACACACCGCCCGUCACAUCACGAAAGCUGGCUGUACUAGAAGUCGCCGCGCUAACCCGCAAGGGAGGCAAGCGCCUAAGGUAUGGUUAGUGAUUGGGGUG